rnacentral:lncRNA from 1 species
UCUCUCUCCAGUUAUACAUCAGAUUCUGUAGCUUUCUUGUCCUGAGCCAUGUUCCUUGCAAUCCACUGCUCUUCUUAGAAACUGGUAAGACUCUGUGGUCCUGACUAUAGAUCAUUUAGAAGUCAAGGGCCACAGGAAGUGCUGGCUCAUCUAUCCCAACACAUUCCCACCUCAGCCAUUUCCAUCUUCUGGCAUCAGGGAGGAAGAAAGGCCAUGCUGACCACAAGUCUUCUGAGAGGACAAGGACAGCAUGGGGAGAUACAUGGGUCCAAGCUGCCACACCUGUCUGGCUCAAGGCAGCUGGCAGAUGUCUAGGAGGCAAGGAGGUUUCUAGCACUGCAAAGCAUCCAGGAGCACAGGGAUCUGCACAGAGCAGGGGAAAGAAGCCAUGGAGGUGGAUGGCAGCAGCAGUAUGAGGCUUCCUCUGCAGCCCAACGUGGGCCCAACAGACAGUGUUGGAGAAUGGGCCUUUCCUGCUAGAGUUUCGUAGUUGCAAGCAAUAGAAAGUAAGUGUGUUAAGAAAAAAUGGCAUUUUCUGAAAGAAUACAGGGUAGCUCACAAAAUC